AGGUUGGUACUUUUUUAUUUUACUAGGCCAGGGUGCCUCCAGCUGUUGCCAAACUUUAACUCCCAGUAUACCCAGACAUCCUUUGGCUGUCCAGACAUGCUGGGCAGGGCCGUCUUUAACACGGGGCAAAAGGGGCAGCUGCCCUGGGCCCUGCCAUUCCUGGGGGCCCAAAGCAGCUAGCCCUUUAGCCCCACCGGUCCACUGCGCUGCAGCCAGGGACGGUUUUUCCUAUAAGGCACUUUUCAUGGGGGCAGCAAUCCCGACCGCUGAACACCCCUCCCCCCCCCUCCUGUGACAGGCACCGCGGUGGCCGGCGGCUUCAGGACUGUGCGCAUCAUUAUGAGUCCCCACAGUCACAGAUGACUCAUACAGCCGGGCCCCCAACUGUGAGCCGCUCCUGCCAUCAGUGGAGAUCCAGGGGAGGGGAAAUAUACCUGCUCUGUUGUGUCCUAUGUGUACACAUAUGGACCCCUUCACUGCCUUCCUAUAGCAGUGUUUCCCAAGCAGUUUGCAUCCAGCUGUUGAAAACCACAGCUCCCAGCAUGCCCAGAUAGCCAAAAGCUGUCUGGAUAUGCUGGGAGUUGUAGUUUUGCUAUAUCUGUAUGCACCUGCUUGGGAAACACUGCCAUACACACAGCGAUCUCAACCUCCAGCUCAGCUCCUCCCCUGCUGGUCAUGUGAUCAUAGACUCAUACGGAGGCCUGCUGGGGUCAGAGGAAGGACCAGAGUGCAGGUGAACAGUGGGUGAUGGCAUGACAGGCAGGUUACAUAGUAAAAGAUUUGAGAACAAACUGGAAAUCAACCAGAGACUACUAAUAUGAAGUCCUACAAACAUUAUGAAACAAGUGGAUCAUUGCCAUCUAAAAGGCAACACCUUCCAUACGAGGAGCAUCUAAGCUUCCUUUUGGCUACCAGGAAACUUUGUUCGAGAGCUGCAACUUUUUCAAGAUUAAUGUGAAUCCUGAAGGGUCUGACUGCAACGCACAUCUACUCUGGAUUGCUGCACCAUUUUCUAUUCUGUCUAUCGGCUUUCGUGCAUGUCUUAAUGUAUUUAACUAUAUUUACUUACUUGUGAUUCUCACUAUAAAUUUCCUAUCUUUCUAUCUAGCCAUCCAUCCAUCCAAAACAUAGAUUCGGGCACCAGCAGUCAAGCCUUGAUCCAUAAAGCCAGUAAACUAAAACAACUAAAUGUACAAAAUUGCACUAAAUAAUGAAACACUGGGUAAAACUGCUACUUAAUAAAAAAUAUUUUUUCCCCUAUACAAAUCAUUAUCCAGACCACACAUGGAAUACUGUGUAUAAUCUUGAGUAUGAAAAGGAUAAACCUUAUUGGGGUUGUUGCCUUUCUCUAAA